UUUCCGUAGGUGAACCUGCGGAAGGAUCAUUCAUAAUAAGUGUUUUAUGGCACUUUUUAAAAAUCCAUAUCCACCUUGUGUGCAAUGUUAGAUCUCGUCAAUCUUGGCGAGAUUUUUAUACAUCAACUCAUUCUUUAACUGAUUUGUCUGAAAAAUAUUAUGAAUACUUAAUUCAAAAUACAACUUUCAACAACGGAUCUCUUGGCUCUC
rnacentral:misc_RNA from 1 species